UUAAACAUGAGAGUUUGAUCCUGGCUCAGGAUGAACGCUGGCGGUGUGCCUAAUACAUGCAAGUCGAGCGAGUGAGCCCUUCGGGGCGAGCUAGCGGCGAACGGGUGAGUAACAC
rnacentral:rRNA from 1 species